rnacentral:rRNA from 1 species
UACGAACCGUCCAAACGUUAUUCGGAAUUACUGUGCUUAAAGGGUGCGUAGGCGGCCAUGUAAGUGAGGUGUGAAAUCCCUCGGCUUAACCGAGGAACUGCCUUUCAGACUGCUUGGCUUGAGACCGGGAGAGGUGAGUGGAAUUCCCAGUGUAGCGGUGAAAUGCGUAGAUAUUGGGAGGAACACCAGUGGCGAAGGCGGCUCACUGGACCGGUACUGACGCUGAGGCGCGAAAGCGUGGGGAGCAAACGGG